rnacentral:rRNA from 1 species
UGGGGAAUAUUGCACAAUGGGCGCAAGCCUGAUGCAGCCAUGCCGCGUGUGUGAAGAAGGCCUUCGGGUUGUAAAGCACUUUCAGCGGGGAGGAAGGCGAUAAGGUUAAUAACCUUGUCGAUUGACGUUACCCGCAGAAGAAGCACCGGCUAACUCCGUGCCAGCAGCCGCGGUAAUACGGAGGGUGCAAGCGUUAAUCGGAAUUACUGGGCGUAAAGCGCACGCAGGCGGUCUGUCAAGUCGGAUGUGAAAUCCCCGGGCUCAACCUGGGAACUGCGUUCGAAACUGGCAGGCUAGAGUCGUGUAGAGGGGGGUAGAAUUCCAGGUGUAGCGGUGAAAUGCGUAGAGAUCUGGAGGAAUACCGGUGGCGAAGGCGGCCCCCUGGACAAAGACUGACGCUCAGGUGCGAAAGCGUGGGGAGCAAACAGG